rnacentral:rRNA from 1 species
ACGCUCGACACCUACGGGAGGCNGCAGUGGGGAAUAUUGCACAAUGGAGGAAACUCUGAUGCAGCGAUGCCGCGUGAGGGAAGAAGGUUUUCGGAUUGUAAACCUCUGUCUUUGGGGACGAUAAUGACGGUACCCAAGGAGGAAGCUCCGGCUAACUACGUGCAAGCAGCCGCGGUAAUCUGAGCGGGCUGGCAAGGC